rnacentral:rRNA from 4 species
UUGGACCUGAUAUCAGGCAAGAUUA